GCCGGGUGUGGUGGUGUGCACCUGUAGUCCCAGCUGCUCAGGAGGCUGAGGCAGGAGAAUCGCUUGAACCCGGGAGGUGGAGGGUGCAGUGAGCCGAGAUCACACCACUGCACUCCAGCCUGGGCAACAAAGUGAGACUCAGUCUCAA
rnacentral:SRP_RNA from 2 species